rnacentral:rRNA from 1 species
GCAUAUCAAUAAGCGGAGGAAAAGAAACCAACCGGGAUUGCCUUAGUAACGGCGAGUGAAGCGGCAAAAGCUCAAAUUUGAAAUCUGGUACCUUUGGUGCCCGAGUUGUAAUUUGGAGAGGGCAACUUUGGGGCCGUUCCUUGUCUAUGUUCCUUGGAACAGGACGUCAUAGAGGGUGAGAAUCCCGUGUGGCGAGGAGUGCGGUUCUUUGUAAAGUGCCUUCGAAGAGUCGAGUUGUUUGGGAAUGCAGCUCUAAGUGGGUGGUAAAUUCCAUCUAAAGCUAAAUAUUGGCGAGAGACCGAUAGCGAACAAGUACAGUGAUGGAAAGAUGAAAAGAACUUUGAAAAGAGAGUGAAAAAGUACGUGAAAUUGUUGAAAGGGAAGGGCAUUUGAUCAGACAUGGUGUUUUGUGCCCUCUGCUCCUUGUGGGUAGGGGAAUCUCGCAUUUCACUGGGCCAGCAUCAGUUUUGGUGGCAGGAUAAAUCCAUAGGAAUGUAGCUUGCCUCGGUAAGUAUUAUAGCCUGUGGGAAUACUGCCAGCUGGGACUGAGGACUGCGACGUAAGUCAAGGAUGCUGGCAUAAUGGUUAUAUGCCGCCCGUCUUGAAACACGGACC